rnacentral:rRNA from 1 species
CCCUUAGAUGUCCGGGGCCGCACGCGCGCUACACUGAAGGAAUCAGCGUGGCUUUCUCCCUGACCCGAAAGGGUUGGGAAACCCGUUGAAUCUCCUUCGUGAUAGGGAUUGGGGCUUGAAAUUGUUCCCCAUGAACGAGGAAUUCCCAGUAAGCGCGAGUCAUAAGCUCGCGUUGAUUACGUCCCUGCCCUUUGUACACACGCCCGUCGCUACUACCGAUUGAACGGUUUAGUGAGGGCCUCGGAUUGGUCUCGGCCCGCUCUUUACCGGGCGGCGCCGUUGGUCGAGAAGACGCUCGAACUUGAUCGUUUAGAGGAAGUAAAAGUCGUAACA